rnacentral:rRNA from 1 species
CCUACGGGAGGCAGCAGUGGGGAAUAUUGCACAAUGGGCGGAAGCCUGAUGCAGCGACGCCGCGUGAGGGAUGAAGGCCUUCGGGUUGUAAACCUCUUUCAGCAGGGACGAAGCGUGAGUGACGGUACCUGCAGAAGAAGCACCGGCUAACUACGUGCCAGCAGCCGCGGUAAUACGUAGGGUGCGAGCGUUGUCCGGAAUUACUGGGCGUAAAGAGUUCGUAGGCGGUUUGUCGCGUCGUUUGUGAAAACCCGGGGCUCAACUUCGGGCUUGCAGGCGAUACGGGCAGACUUGAGUGUUUCAGGGGAGACUGGAAUUCCUGGUGUAGCGGUGAAAUGCGCAGAUAUCAGGAGGAACACCGGUGGCGAAGGCGGGUCUCUGGGAAACAACUGACGCUGAGGAACGAAAGCGUGGGUAGCAAACAGGAUUAGAUACCCUGGUAGUCCACGCCGUAAACGGUGGCGCUAGGUGUGGGUUCCUUCCACGGGAUCUGUGCCGUAGCUAACGCAUUAAGCGCCCGCCUGGGGAGUCGGCCGCAAGGCUAAAACUCAAAUGAAUUGACGGCNGAGAGNGCGACGACGACGACGAGGAGAG